rnacentral:rRNA from 1 species
CUAUGCCUGAGUAGGAUGAAGCCGGAGGAAACUCUGGUGGAGGUCCGAAGCGUUUUUGACGUGCAAAUCAAUCGUCAGACUUGGGUAUAGGGGCGAAAGACUAAUCGAACCAUCUAGUAGCUGGUUCCCUUCGAAGUUUCCCCCAGGAAAGCUGGUGUCAUAUUUGACAGUUUUAUCUGGUAAAGCGAAUGAUUAGAGGCAUUGGGGACGAAUUGUUCUCGACCUAUUCUCAAACUUUAAAUGGGUAAUGUGCUGGUGUACUUCUUGGUUAUUUUGAGUGCUCAGUCAAAUGCAAUGGCACCAAGUGGGCCAUUUUUGGUAAGCAGAACUGGCGAUGUGGGAUGAACCAAACGUUGAGCUAGGAUGCCCAAAGUGCUUCUCAUGAGAUACCAUGAAAGGUGUCAGUCGAUAUUGACAGCAGGACGGUGGCCGCAGAAGUAGGAAUCCGCUAAGGAGUGUGUAACAACUCACCUGCCGAAUCGACUGGUCCUGAAAAUGGAUGGCGCUGGAGACGUAUAUCCAUGCUCGACCGUCACUGCCAAACUAGCGGUUGCUAUAUGGUUUGACGUGUAGAAGGGCGGUUGCUGUGGCGUAGAAACUUGCACCGUGAGGUGGAGUAGAGCUGCAGCUUGUGCAGAUCUUGGUGGUAGUAGCAAGUAUUCAAAUGAGAGCAUUGAAGACUGAAGUGGAGUAAGGUUCCAUGUGAACAUUAUUUGGACAUGGAUCAGCCGAUCCUAAGAGAACGUGUAAAUUCGUGAUUAAGCGCGUCGCGUUGAGCGUCGCAAUCGAAAGGGAAUCGGGUUAAUAUUCCCGAGCCAGGAUACGGAAUGUGUUUGAUUAAUCGAAAAUGCCUUGUGUGUUUUCGACAUCAGACAGAUGCGGCAACGCUAACAAACCCAGAGAUUAACUAUGCGAAGUCCGGGGAAGAGUUUUCUAUUCUUUGUAAGGAAUGUUAUCCCUGGAAACAGAUUGUCUGGCGAUAGGGUACGCAUUCCGUAAUGCAACGCGAUUCCUGCGAUGUACCGUGCACUUCGUAUAGUGCUUGAAAAUCUGGGGACGAAUUUGUUCAGGCCGUACCUGUUCGUACUGAUUUCCGCAGCAGGUCUCCAAGGUGAGCAGCCUCUAGUCGAUGGGACAAAGUAGACAAGGGAAGUCGGCAAAUUAGAUCCGUAACUUCGGAAAAAGGAUUGGCUCUAAAAGCUGAGUUGGUCGGGCGGUUGUGCGAAGCAGGAAGCCACUCCUAGUCUCUGUUUCAGAUUCCGAUCUCGCAAGGGAUGAGGGGUCGAGGACGGAACUUGGUUAACGCUUUCUGUGGAACUCGGUCGCUAUGUCACCCGUGUGGAAAUCUAAACCCAUGUUCUGAACCAUACGACGUGAAUCCGAUCAGCAUUAAACAGCUGACCUAGAACUGGUAUGGACAAGGGGAAUCCAACUGUUUAAUUAAAACAAAGCAUUGCGAUAGCUGUAAUCGGUGUUGACGCGAUGUGAUUUCUGCCCAGUGCUCUGAAUGUUAAAGUGAAGGAACUCAUCCAAGCGCGAGUUAACGGCGGAAGUAACUAUGACUUUCUUAAGGUAGCCAAAUGCCUCGUCAUCUAAUUAGUGACGUGCAUGAAUGGAUUAUUGAGAUUCCUUCUGUCCCUGUCUGCAACCUAGCGAAACCACAGCCAAGGGAACGGGCUUGGAGAGUAACAGCGGGGAAAGAAGACCCUGUUGAGCUUGACUCUAGUCAGUCUCUGUGAAGAAACAUGAUGGAUGUAGAAUAGGUGGGAGGAUGCAACAGUGAAAUACCACUACCAUCAUCGUUUCUUUACUUACUCAAUUGUUCAGGGAGCGUGAAUUCGCUAUUCGCGACAUGUGAUUGUUUCUUGAGUGGAAUAAGUGUCUGGUUUGAGAACACAGACUGAUUGGGAGUUUGACUGGGGCGGUACAUCUGUUAAAAUCUAACGCAGGUGUCCUAAGGCAAUCUCAGCGUGGACAGAAACCUCGCAUAGAGCGAAAGGGCAAAAGAUUGCUUGAUCUGGAUUUUCAGUACGAAUAAAGACAAUGAAAGUUUGGCUUGUCGAUCCUUUUGAAUUUUACGAGUUUUAAGCAAGAGGUGUCAGAAAAGUUACCACAGGGAUAACU